rnacentral:rRNA from 1 species
CCUACGGGAGGCAGCAGUGGGGAAUUUUGGACAAUGGGCGCAAGCCUGAUCCAGCAAUGCCGCGUGAGUGAAGAAGGCCUUCGGGUUGUAAAGCUCUUUUGUCAGGGAAGAAAAGGUAGCCUCUAAUACAGGCUGCUCAUGACGGUACCUGAAGAAUAAGCACCGGCUAACUACGUGCCAGCAGCCGCGGUAAUACGUAGGGUGCAAGCGUUAAUCGGAAUUACUGGGCGUAAAGCGUGCGCAGGCGGUUAUAUAAGUCAGCUGUGAAAUCCCCGGGCUCAACCUGGGAACUGCAGUUGAGACUGUAUGGCUAGAGUGUGUCAGAGGGGGGUAGAAUUCCACGUGUAGCAGUGAAAUGCGUAGAUAUGUGGAGGAAUACCGAUGGCGAAGGCAGCCCCCUGGGAUAACACUGACGCUCAUGCACGAAAGCGUGGGGAGCAAACAGGAUUAGAUACCCUGGUAGUCCACGCCCUAAACGAUGUCUACUAGUUGUUGGGUCUUAAUUGACUUAGUAACGCAGCUAACGCGUGAAGUAGACCGCCUGGGGAGUCGGUCGCAGAUUAAAACGUCAAAGUAGUAGUACGGACGAGNGAGAGCGACGACGGACGACGACGGAGGGAGGNG